rnacentral:rRNA from 1 species
GACCUCGGAUCAGGUAGGAAUACCCGCUGAACUUAAGCAUAUCAUAA